UGGGGAAUAUUGCACAAUGGGCGCAAGCCUGAUGCAGCCAUGCCGCGUGUGUGAAGAAGGCCUUCGGGUUGUAAAGCACUUUCAGCGGGGAGGAAGGCGGUGAGGUUAAUAACCUCACCGAUUGACGUUACCCGCAGAAGAAGCACCGGCUAACUCCGUGCCAGCAGCCGCGGUAAUACGGAGGGUGCAAGCGUUAAUCGGAAUUACUGGGCGUAAAGCGCACGCAGGCGGUCUGUUAAGUCAGAUGUGAAAUCCUCGGGCUCAACCUGGGAACUGCAUCUGAUACUGGCAAGCUUGAGUCUCGUAGAGGGGGGUAGAAUUCCAGGUGUAGCGGUGAAAUGCGUAGAGAUCUGGAGGAAUACCGGUGGCGAAGGCGGCCCCCUGGACGAAGACUGACGCUCAGGUGCGAAAGCGUGGGGAGCAAACAGG
rnacentral:rRNA from 1 species